rnacentral:lncRNA from 1 species
CGAAUCUUCACAGAAGCCCCAAAAAAACAAGCGUCAGCCCCCGUUUGGCCCCUUUCUUUCCAAAUUUUAAUUGUUGAAAUGGUAUUUUUUUUUUUUUUUUUUUAAGAAAAUGUUGUUGAAAAAAAAUGAAAUUUUUUUUUAUUUGUGUAUAAUAUUAUUUUAUGAAAAAUUGUAUGAUUGAAAAUAAGAGAGAGAAUGAAAAUGAGAAUGAGGCCAAAAGGAGUCUAAGUUGGAUAAGUGAAAAGAAGUUUACUUGGAGUAUUAGAUAAGAUGAUGAGAAGAGGGUGAGGGAUGUGUGAGCCCAAAUGUUUGAAAGCAGUACGUAAAACGUAGGGUUGUCAUUGAUGAUGG